CAUUGAAAAUAAAGAAUUUUCAUCAACCUUAUCACUUUGCACGACCAAGACUCUGAAAAACAGAGAGAAAAGAAAACCAAAAACCAUUUCUUGGCUGGUUUGAAGAGAUUCUAAGGAGAUCCAAGUGAAAUCAAAGCCAAAGAAGUGGAUUAAGCUUAGUUUUGGUCUUUUUAUGAUAUUUCUUGGUGGUUUCCAAGUGGUUUGAGGUUUAGAAAAGCUUGAAGAUAUUAUUUUCGCCGAAAAGUUGCUCGGAUAAGCACAUCAACACCUAAGACACCACUUGUUACACGGUGAAAUAUAUUUUGGACAAAAGGUAAGUAAAG